UCGAGAAUCUUCGGCAAUGGGCGCAAGCCUGACCGAGCGACGCCGCGUGUGGGAUGAAGGCCUUCGGGUUGUAAACCGCUGUCGGAGGGGAGGAAAUGCUAGGUAACCCCUAGUUUGACCUAUCCUCGGAGGAAGUCCGGGCUAAGUUCGUGCCAGCAGCCGCGGUAAGACGAACCGGACAAACGUUAUUCGGAAUCAUUGGGCUUAAAGGGUGCGUAGGCGGCGUGGCAAGUUGGAUGUGAAAUCCCUCGGCUCAACCGAGGAACUGCGUCCAAAACUGCCAUGCUUGAGGGAGACAGAGGUGAGCGGAACUUAGGGUGGAGCGGUGAAAUGCGUUGAUAUCCUGAGGAACACCAGUGGCGAAAGCGGCUCACUGGGUCUCUUCUGACGCUGAGGCACGAAAGCUAGGGGAGCGAACGGGAUUAGAUACCCCCGUAGUCC
rnacentral:rRNA from 1 species